rnacentral:tRNA from 2 species
GGAGAGGUGGCUGAGUGGACUAAGGCGCUCGCCUGGAGAGCGAGUGGGCAGAAAUGUCCCGUGGGUUCGAAUCCCACCCUCUCCGCCA